AAUCAACGCUGGCGGCGUGCCUAACACAUGCAAGUCGAGCGCGAAAGUGGACUUCGGUCCACGAGUAGAGCGGCGAACGGGUGAGUAACGCGUGGGUGAUCUACCUUCGAGUGGGGAAUAACACUGGGAAACUGGUGCUAAUACCGCAUGACAUCCUCGGUUCGUUCCGAGGAUCAAAGCUGGGGACCGUAAGGCCUGGCGCUUGAAGAGGAGCCCGCGUCCGAUUAGCUAGUUGGCGGGGUAAUGGCCCACCAAGGCUUCUAUCGGUAGCCGGCCUGAGAGGGCGGACGGCCACACUGGGACUGAGACACGGCCCAGACUCCUACGGGAGGCAGCAGUGGGGAAUUUUUGUCAAUGGGGGAAACCCUGAACAAGCAACGCCGCGUGGAAGAUGAAGGCCCUCGGGUCGUAAACUCCUGUCGAUCGGGAAGAAUGCAUUCGGCCUAAUACGCCGUUGUGUUGACUGUACCGGUGGAGGAAGCCACGGCUAACUCUGUGCCAGCAGCCGCGGUAAGACAGAGGUGGCAAGCGUUGUUCGGAAUUACUGGGCGUAAAGGGCGCGCAGGCGGUUCGUCAAGUCCCGUGUGAAAUCCCCCGGCUCAACUGGGGAACUGCGCGGGAUACU
rnacentral:rRNA from 1 species